rnacentral:misc_RNA from 1 species
CUGGUAUUUGUGUCUUUUCCUAAUGUCUGGGAGCGGAAGAUAGUGUUUUAUAGGAGUUGUGGCUUAUCAGAAGAUGAAAUAUGGUUGGCUAUCAGAAAGUUUCCCUUGUGUAUGAAUUUCUCAAUUAAGAAAAUUAGAAACACCAUGGAUUUUCUUGUGAACAAGAUGGGUUGGCUGCCUGGAGAUGUUGCCAGAGUUCCAAGUGUAUUAUGUUAUAGUUUGGAGAAGAGGAUUGUUCCAAGGUGUUCAGUUGUAAAAGUUUUGAUAUUGAAAGGUUUGAUCAAGGGAGAUAUUAAUUUAUCUACUGUGUUGACAGCCACUGAGAAGUACUUCCUGGAUUUGUUUGUGAUAAAGUAUCAGGAAGAGGUACCUCAACUCUUGAGUAUCUUCCGAGGAGAAAUAAAUAUUGUGGAAUUUGGAUUUGGAUUUGAGUAAAAACCAUCCGUAGUUUCCCCCUUACCCGAUGCUGGGUAAUUGCGGCUUAGCUUUAUUGGACUUUUAACUGCUGGCUGUAGACUGUCUCUAAUGUGGUUCUCUUGUAAGUGAUUUUACUACAUACCUUCAUUUUAUUAGAGAUAUUUGAGGUAUUGGUAGGGAAGUCAUAGGUCCGGAUAACUCAACUGCCUUGCAGCGCUCUAAAGGUUUCCAAUGCUUCAGUUCAGUGUCUUAUUUUCAUUGAAGAACUCUCUGCCAUCAAUCUGAUAAUGAUGAAUCAUUGGAAACCUUUAGAGCGCUG